rnacentral:rRNA from 1 species
ACAUACGACCAUAGGGUGUGGAAAACAGGGCUUCCCGUCCGCUCAGCCGUACUUAAGCCACACGCCGGCCGGUUAGUAGUUGGGUGGGUGACCACCAGCGAAUCCCAGCUGUUGGUAUGUU